rnacentral:rRNA from 1 species
GAUGAACGCUGGCGGCGUGCCUAAUACAUGCAAGUCGAGCGAACAGACGAGGAGCUUGCUCCUCUGACGUUAGUGGCGGACGGGUGAGUUACACGUGGAUAACCUACCUAUAAGACUGGGAUAACUUCGGGAAACCGGAGCUAAUACCGGAUAAUAUAUUGAACCGCAUGGUUCAAUAGUGAAAGACGGUUUUGCUGUCACUUAUAGAUGGAUCCGCGCCGCAUUAGCUAGUUGGUAAGGUAACGGCUUACCAAGGCAACGAUGCGUAGCCGACCUGAGAGGGUGAUCGGCCACACUGGAACUGAGACACGGUCCAGACUCCUACGGGAGGCAGCAGUAGGGAAUCUUCCGCAAUGGGCGAAAGCUUGACGGAGCAACGCCGCGUGAGUGAUGAAGGUCUUCGGAUCGUAAAACUCUGUUAUUAGGGAAGAACAAAUGUGUAAGUAACUAUGCACGUCUUGACGGUACCUAAUCAGAAAGCCACGGCUAACUACGUG